UAUUACUCAUUUGGGAGAUUGGGCAUAACCUAAUUAACACGGUAAAUGCAUUUAUCUUCUUUAUUUUUUACAGGAACUUUGACAGCCAUCACAACCUGUGGACUUCUAUAAUUUUCCAUACACAAAUAGAAAAAUAAAUAAGUGACAUUGCUGCUGACUUUAACUUCUGUAAAGAUUAUGUCAAAGUCUGGUGUUUUAGUCAUGCUGAAUGACAAAAGAUUAAGUUUUCUUUGUUUCAGCAUUUUUUCCUACAAGAAUAUACAGAAGUUUGUUCAAGCCAUUUUCAUUGUACAAGUCAUAUAGUUGUUCAAUUUGUAAUAAUGAUAAGUAUUAAGGAGAAGCAUUUUAUUAGACUGAAAACCUUCCUAAAAUUUGGUUUAAUUUAUACUUCACCAGCUGCAAACAUGCAUGUUUAGAGAUUUACAAUCUUUAUAUAAUGAGUAGUUAAAAUGAGAGGACUCCUUACUUCAUAACAAUUAUCCCCUUUGACUAAUUGGAAGGGGACAAAUUACCAGUAAAUUUUUUUUUGCUAAUAUCCAGAAAACUUAUUUUACAUGUUCUUAUGAUGACUGUGGUCAGGUUUGUUGUAGGUUAUUUUACCCUGUUCUUAUGAUGACUGUGGUCAGGUUUGUUGUAGGUUAUUUUACAUGUUCUUAUGAUGACUGUGGUCAGGUUUGUUGUAGGUUAUUUUACAUGUUCUUAUGAUGACUGUGGUCAGGUUUGUUGUAGGUUAUUUUACAUGUUCUUAUGAUGACUGUGGUCAGGUUUGUUGUAGGUUAUUUUACAUGUUCUUAUGAUGACUGUGGUCAGGUUUGUUGUGGGUUUGCCAGAAUGUCUUGUAACUCUUCCACAUUUCUCCACACAGGUUAGUACAUCAACAAAAGCUUCAUUAUGGUGGCCAUAUUGGACAAGCAACUAAGUUAUAUGCCUUAAAUUACAUAGUGAACCAUGCAAACACAACUUUGCUGAAAACUUAUUCAAAUUGGACCAGCUAUUGAAAUGAUAAUAAAUCAUCGAAAUAAACAGUUAUACAGUGAAUAAUAAAACAUGGUACUUAAAUAAUAGCACUUUU